rnacentral:rRNA from 1 species
UACAGAGGGUGCGAGCGUUGUUCGGAUUCAUUGGGCGUAAAGGGUGCGUAGGCGGCGGGGCAAGUCGGAUGUGAAAUCUCAGGGCUCAACCCUGAAACUGCAUUCGAUACUGCCUUGCUCGAGGACUGGAGAGGAGAUUGGAAUUCACGGUGUAGCAGUGAAAUGCGUAGAUAUCGUGAGGAAGACCAGUGGCGAAGGCGGAUCUCUGGACCGUUCCUGACGCUGAGGAGCGAAAGUGUGGGGAGCGAACAGG